CUUCUCUGAUCUGACAUUUUCGUAGUUACCAAGUUCCCUCAGAUGAAGGAAGGGAGAACCCUAAUCUGAAGAGGGGAGGUCUGAAGUGGACAGGAACAGUAUCAAGGAGACCACAGGAGGCAAAACAUUAAAAGUUGAAGAAACAGCAUAAAUAACAGAAGACUGAAACUAAGCUGAUUGGAUCAAGGACAGACACCUGACCAAGGACAGUCACGCUGUGCUUUAUGUCCCGGCAGAAAAAGGCUCUGAUUUGUAUCCUAAAGGAGUAGUCCAACGGAAAUAGGCAAAUGCCAGCAAUGGGAGAAGAAUUAGACUCCACUUCUUGAUGAGAGAGUGAGAGAAGAACCUGAAACAAGGGCUUUAUGCAUAUGUUGCUAAAUCCAGUGGGACCAUCUGAGAAACCAUAUAAAAUGCAUAUCAGGUCUGUCCAUCCCAGGAGAGAAAGGGAUGGCCCCUGACUGCCGGAAUCUACUUUUUUCCACUGUGGUAGAAGUAUUUGGGGACUUAUAUCCUUCCAGGAGUAGUUCUUAUCCAAUCACUGAUAGGUUCAGGGGUUUAAAUAUUUCAGCCAUUGUGGCUUGAUCAGGAUAAGUCUGAGGUGUGAUCCACACUGUUUAGAGAUAUCCUCUAUGGGACAGAGACAAAGUUACCCUCCAUGAAACUUUGCUUUAUAAUAUACCCCUCCUUAGCCUUCUUACCUUACUAGUCCUAUUUCCUUGCUACACACCCCAUGCCCCUGAUUUUCCUGGGAAAAUUUUCUAUUAAUCGUGUUCACAUGAGUCAUCUUCCGAGAGUCUGUUUCUGGGGAAUACAACUUAAGGCAGAGAUAUAACAAUAAGAAUUUUAAUCUUCUUCCCAGAAAGCAAUGGGAAGAAUAAAGGGAAGAUCAGUCAUCCUGUUCUAUCUUCUUAAAUUUGAGCUUUCUCCACUGACAUGUCUCAGAUGUGCUUGGGAGGAAAAUCAACUCAUUUUGGACAUCCAGAUUCAUUCAGGAAAUUGGCAAUAUAUAUCUGGACUACAGGAAAGAGGUCAGAGCCAGAGAUAUAUUAAAUUAAAACAAGCUGGGUUGUAAACUCAUAGUGUAUGAGAGUUAUGCUGAUUUACUUUUCUAUGAACUACUUGCCCAUCCUCACCUAAUUUUAAAAUUCAGUACAGCUGUGAUUUUCAUCAAAUGUUUAUGAUCCUAUUAUAGGAUAUAUUUUUAGCCUUAAUAAAAGGAAGUUGAUAAAGCUUCAU
rnacentral:lncRNA from 10 species